UACGGGGGGGGCAAGCGUUGUCGGAAUUUACUGGGCGUAAAGGGUGCGUAGGCGGCUUUUCUAAGUUUGGAUUGUGAAAACUCUGGGCUCAACCCAGAGACUGCAUCCAAAACUGGAGAGCUUGGGUUCUGGAGGGAAAGCGGAAUUCCUGGUGUAGCGGUGAAAUGCGUAGAUAUCAGGAGGAACACCGGUGGCGAAGGCGGCUUUCCUGGGACCGACACUGAC
rnacentral:rRNA from 1 species